CAAAUACACAACCACAGAACAGAUGCAAGAAGCAACACAACCAAAACAUAAAUUUGCUAGUUUAAAGAAGAUGUUCUAAAAGCAUCUGAGAAAUGUCAAAUCAGUAACUAGUAAACAAACCCGUGGAUUCCCACAACAACCAAAAAAAAGGGACAGAAGACAGAAACUACUAACACAAUCUGAUCACACACGUAUAGCUUCAAAAGAACUUUAAGUUGGAAAUAUUGUCGAAAUUGGGAAGUUGUUGAUUUUGAGAGAGACAUUGCGUUGGCAGUUGAAGAAUUUUCAGAAUCAAGGAAUUAAUUGUCAACUAAUCUACCAACAAAUUGGACAUGAAAAAGCGAAAGGAGAAAUGGAGAAAUAUGGAAUGGACAUAACAAUUUUGCAAUCCAGUCUUAAUAGUUUAUGUCAAAAACGAGAAAUGCCUUUCUACAUUGUUCACAUCCUAAUUUCUCCAGACAAAACAAAAACUAAAAAACAAAAAAACAUAUGUUCCCACUUAGUGAUCUCCAAAGCACCUCCCUGGGGACUUUGUCGUACGCCUUUUCUAGGUCGAUGAACACCAUGUGCAAAUCCUUCUUCCUUUCCCUAUAUUGCUCCACCAACCGCCGUACCAGGUGAAUUGCCUCCGUCGUCGAGCGGCCGGGCAUAAAUCCGAACUGGUUUUCCGAGAUAGACACUAUCCGUCUCAGCCUCACCUCGACCACUCUCUCCCAGAUCUUCAUAGAGUGACUCAGUAACUUAAUCCCCCUAUAGUUAUUGCAACACUGAAUGUCCCCCUUAUUCUUAUAGAGGGGGAUCAUGGUACUCCACCUCCACGCCUCGGGCAUCUUUGCCGUCCUGAAAAUUUCAUUGAACAAUGCAGUCAACCACCUUACACCAGCCUCUCCAACGAACUUCCAAAACUCCACCGGUAUCUCAUCCGGCCCCGUCGCCCUACCCCUUCGCAUCCUGCGGACUGCCUGUCUAACCUCGUCUACCUUAAAACGUCUACAAUAGCUAAAAUCCCGACACUCCCCUGAGUGCUCCAGUUCCCCUAACACAAUAGCUCUGUCCCCCUCGUCAUUCAAGAGCCUAUGAAAGUACGACUGCCAUCUCUUCUUUAUGUGGCCGUCCUCCACCAACACUCUACCGUCCUCCCCCUUAAUGCACCUCACCUGAUCGAGGUCACGACCCUUCCUCUCCCUAGCCUUCGCGAGUCGGAACAACUUUUUCUCCCCUCCUUUCCUCUGUAACCCUGCAUACAAGCUCUCAAAAGCGGCCGUCUUAGCUGCCGUGACCGCUGACUUCGCCUCCUUCCUCGCUAGCUUGUACUCUUUCCUGUUUACCCGCUUCUCUUCUUCGUCCUUACUUUCCACCAACUUAGCAUACGCCUCUUUCUUGGUCUCCACUUUCUUCCCCACCUCUUCAUUCCACCACCAAUCUCCCCGAUGAUGUCCGGCCCGGCCCCUAGAAACAAAAACUAAAAAACAAAAAAACAUAUGCUCGUAUCUAGAACAAAGAUUUUCCCUGCUACCCAAAUUUCAACGUUUUUAAACAAGCCUAAUUGUCAUAAUGUACAAUGCACUAAUGAAGUAUUGAUCAAAUUGUAGAAGAUUUGCUCAGAGUUAUUUAUCCAAUACAUUAAAAGUUUGUCACCUAAAAUCAUAAACGAAAUUGAAUAAUAAAAAAGAAAAUCUCCAUCUUACAGAACAGAACAACCAUUAAGUUCAUCUAAAAUAUAAUAAGAUUGGUUGGUUAUGUCCAUUGUCUAUACGCCAGCAGAAAACCUGCUCAUUAUCAUCUAUAUUACCAAUGCAAGAUCUUGAGUUUAUUUUGCAUUAUGAACUUUGUUCUUUAUUGAGACAUAAGCUAAUGAGUAGUGAGUACUUGCAAUGUAACUUUACCGGAAAGGUGCACACAUGUUCUCCUCUCCUCUAAUUAACAGAAGCCUUGUUCUUUCAUAUUACUCAGCUCUGGACGACUUUCUUCAUCCCAGCGUGGCUAAUCAAAUUCCCGCAUGGAAUUCUCUGCCUGCGCACACUUACUGUUCUCAAGGAUUUUAUUGAAUUGUCCAACCCACCCAAAGAUAGCUUAUGUCAUAGGUGGACAUAUUGUCCUUUUUUUUCUCUAAUGAGGUAAAAGUUAACUGAUAAGGUAGCAAGACAGUACAAAAUGGUAUAAAACUCAUACAGAGACCAAACAAGCAACCCACUAUAGUUUUCUUCCUAAUGAAACCAAAAAACCCAUGUACUGAUUCAAUAGGGAACUCAUGAGUCAUGACUAGGAAUAUGUCCUUUUUGGGCUAUUCGGAAGGAAUAAUAAAAAGAAGUCCAAGUUGGUUGGUGAGCCUAGUGAUGAGACCACCACCGUGGAGAACCAUCAAUAAUAAUGAGAGAAAGAAGCUUUCACAUGAACUUGUAUACUUUGCUUUCCUUUUCCCGUUUUCACUUUUGGGCGGAGGUUGGCAUCACGUCCUUGCAAGAAUGUAUCACAAAUUAACACAUCGACAGAGAAGUCAGAAAGGCUCCAAAGUAAUUUCUUGUGGGACUUGGAGUUAAAGACCUUAGAGCUUCAGCAAGGCACUACAGUGGUCAUGGAGAUUUGAGAUUAAGGAACAGAUUUAUCAAGGGAGAUGAUAACAGGAGAACAUGGAGUUGUAGAGGGAGAACAGAGGACUUGAAACAUAGCAUUAUUCUACGAAUGCAG
rnacentral:lncRNA from 1 species